UACGUAGGGUGCAAGCGUUAAUCGGAAUUACUGGGCGUAAAGCGUGCGCAGGCGGUGAUGUAAGACAGUUGUGAAAUCCCCGGGCUCAACCUGGGAACUGCAUCUGUGACUGCAUCGCUGGAGUACGGUAGAGGGGGAUGGAAUUCCGCGUGUAGCAGUGAAAUGCGUAGAUAUGCGGAGGAACACCGAUGGCGAAGGCAAUCCCCUGGACCUGUACUGACGCUCAUGCACGAAAGCGUGGGUAGCAAACAGG
rnacentral:rRNA from 1 species